rnacentral:rRNA from 1 species
CAGCCGCCACGGUAAUGCGAAGGGGGCUAGCGUUGCUCGGAAUGACUGGGCGUAAAGGGCUCGCAGGCGGUUUCUUAAGUCUGAUGUGAAAGCCCCCGGCUCAACCGGGGAGGGUCAUUGGAAACUGGGAAACUUGAGUGCAGAAGAGGAGAGUGGAAUUCCACGUGUAGCGGUGAAAUGCGUAGAGAUGUGGAGGAACACCAGUGGCGAAGGCGACUCUCUGGUCUGUAACUGACGCUGAGGAGCGAAAGCGUGGGGAGCGAACAGGAUUAGAUACCCCCGUAGUCCCUGUCUCUUAUAC